rnacentral:rRNA from 1 species
GAUGAACGCUGGCGGCGUGCUUAACACAUGCAAGUCGAACGGAGAUGUUUCGCUGAAGAGGAUUCGUCCAAUUCUUGAAGCAUCUUAGUGGCGGACGGGUGAGUAACGCGUGGGUAACCUGCCGUAUACAGGGGGAUAACACUUAGAAAUAGGUGCUAAUACCGCAUAAGCGCACGGGACCGCAUGGUCAUGUGUGAGAAACUCCGGUGGUAUACGAUGGACCCGCGUCUGAUUAGCUAGUUGGUGAGGUAACGGCUCACCAAGGCGACGAUCAGUAGCCGGCCUGAGAGGGUGAACGGCCACAUUGGGACUGAGACACGGCCCAA